rnacentral:lncRNA from 1 species
UCGAAUGUCCUCAAGUUGUGGUUGAACUAUUUUGUGGUAAAACACCAAGGUUUGUGUAUAAACUUUGUACUCUUUUUACUUGCUGGAAUAUUUUAAAAUAACCUGAUAUUUUAUUUUUCUUGUCUUCAAUUAAUAGCAUUGUAUUCGUGUUAUAUCAAGUAUUGCAAUAUAUUUGCUAAAUCACCCACUCGUACAGAUUGUUUGAUCAUUUUACAUUCUUGUUGGGACUUUGUCCUUCUUAUGGCAGUGACUUUGUCACUCAUCUUGGCAUGCCUCUUGAUUUGGAUCUUUUGCCAUUUUGACUUUGGAUUUGUAGUUCGUCUUAAAUUAUGGAACUUGUCUCUGUUAAGUAUAAACUAGAAAGCCAUUUUUAAUAUGGUUCUUGAUUCUCUUGACUAUUGGGUUUUGACCCUGCUUGAUUUGGGACUUCGGUCCAUCUUGAUAUCUGAUUAUGCUUAGUGUGAUGGCAUGAUGUACAUAUUGGGCGAAAAAUGGAUAUUUAACAAGCUUUCUUGUAUUGAUAGUAUACGCUUUCUAAACUCUUGAAUCUUGAACAUUGUUAUUGAUAUUUGGAAACACUUUAAGAGUUGAUAUUUGAUACUUUAGAUAUAUUUGUUCGCUUGUUUUAAAUUAUAUUUCAUUUGAGCUACCUAUGACUGAAAAUAGGAAUUGGAGAAGUUAAUGGCUCCAAGCCCAAAGUUUAUACGCCACUAAGCUUUAUGCUUAGCGAUAGUUGUUUUCUAUCUUAGGUAAUGUACGGGAUGAAAUUUGAAGACGACCUUAUGAAGUAGUCUUUUUGGGAGAACUUAUGAAGAUCACAUUUGUAUAUGCACCAUGAUUUUGUAUAGUUUUGGGACUUGUACAUGAUAUAUAUAUGUCACACCUAUGUAUGUUAUUUGGAGGCUUGGAUAUUAAGACCAAAAUUUUGUAACUUGAAUUUGGUAACUUAUUUUGUUGUUUUAAGGUGUGUUAAUA